rnacentral:rRNA from 1 species
UACGUAGGGGGCUAGCGUUGUCCGGAAUCAUUGGGCGUAAAGAGCGUGUAGGCGGCCCGGUAAGUCCGCUGUAAAAGUCAAAGGCUCAACCUUUGAAUGUCAGUGGAUACUGCCGGGCUAGAGUCCGGAAGGGGCGAGUGGAACUCCUGGUGUAGCGGUGGAAUGCGCAGAUAUCAGGAAGAACACCAACGGCGAAGGCAGCUCGCUGGGACGGUACUGACGCUGAGACGCGAAAGCGUGGGGAGCGAACAGG